AUGUAGCUAGCCUGUUAGUUCUCAGGUAUAAGGUCACUGUAUUGUAUAUUUGCUGACUCGACAUGUAGGGCAAUUACUAUUACAUAACAAUCACGUGCUACGAAUAUUGUCAUGUCAGCAAAAUAUGUGUAGCUACGUUGAUGCUCAAUGCAGUGACCUUAUACCUGAGAACUAACAGGCUAGCUACAUAGAAGUGAUCUUGCAAUUGCUGCCUGUUGUUUUUAUUAGCCAUAGGACUCUGCAAACGCUGAGUUUUCUGUAUCUGAACGUAUUUACUGACUCAGCAAAAAUUGUCAAUCUAGGCUAGGAGAAAGAUUGGAACACGUCAUUUGACGUCACGUUUUACUAUGUUUUGUACGUUGUGUGGGCGAAACCCUUUGAAGUCUACCAUAGCAGCCGGUCAGCGUAGUGUGGCCUUUGACCUGCCCACUAGGCGUUACGCCUUAGGCUGCUAAGCUAAGAACACUUAUUUUCGUUUGUACUAGUAACCACAAAAACAAGAUCAUAAAGAAAAUACCAAGUACAAAGUUGUGCUACUCUUGGAAAGUUGUCUGAACAUGAAAUGUAUGUGCUGUGGGCCAUUGAAGGAAUGCUACACGGAAGAAGAUAUCAGCAUUGGAAAAAAGCUGCAAGAGAUAGACGGCUGGCUUGGUGUGCCAAAGAUGGAAGUGCAAACAAAGUCCUCAAGUGAUUCUAAUAUUACAUUGUGUCCUUUGAUAAGUCCUCUGAUAAUAACUUUUACCGAUCAUGAACCAACUACAAAUGUAUGUCUACAUCAUCAUUAUUUUUUUCAACCACUUUUUAAUACAAUUAUAAUAUGGAAGUUAUACUGUAUAGAACUUAAAGCAGUAUCUCAUUCUAAUCCUUUUCA